GACACAUUUUAGCUUUCUACAAAAAGGGAAUAAAGGGGAAGCAGCUCUGGCUAGCCUUGGAAAAGCUAUUUAGCUUGCAUAUUGUGGAACUGUCUUCCCUAGCUAGUUAGUGCCAUUUUAUAACACUGCAGCAUAUUGGAUCAAAGACUAGAACUGCCACCUCCUGUUUACAGUGGGCUGGAGCAGUCACAGAAUUGUCAGGGCUACUUUCUGUCUCGGUGUGAUUGGAAAUAAGACUGAAAACGUGGGCUUUGACGUAUUAUGAGAUCAGAGAGCAAGAUGCAUGCUGCAUCAUGGGACCAAGGAUCUUAUGAGGAUAUUUGGUAUCUAUAAUGUACCAUCUGUACGUGAUUUAAGUCACUCUCAGAGGUGCAACCCUUUUGCUUACUUAUUCUGUGAGUUUUUAUUGAAAAGCUGACUUGUAUGUGCAAGCAGCAUUUUGUGGACUCAGUGAUGACUUAAGGACUAUUGCCUAGAGACUUCUAAGGGGCUUUUGUAGUCUGUACAGAUCCCCUUUUUCCAUCAAGGUCUUCUACAACCAACUAGAACUGCUUAUAUUUUUAGUUCCACAAGUUUCUACUUUAAUCAUGAUGGUGUCUGUGUAUCCAUCACCAUCAUGCAUACUUAGGUCUCACAAUGCUGUAUGUAAAAUAAAGAAGUAUGAACUA